rnacentral:lncRNA from 1 species
UGAGUGGGCCUGUGUUAAAGAAGGUUGUGCUUGGAAGGGAAGAGAGCGCUUAGGAGUCGUGUGUUAUCGCUUCUCGGCCUUUUGGCUAAGAUCAAGUGUAGUAUCUGUUCUUAUCAGUUUAAUAUCUGAUACGUCCUCUAUCCGAGGACAAUAUAUUAAAUGGAUUUUUGGAACAGGGAAGAUGGGGAGAGAUAAAAACUUCCCUGGAUGAAAUUAAAGAGGACAAAUGGGGAGAGAUAAGAACCUUCCUGCAAAACAUUGAUAGGGAGUUAAAAACAUCCCACAAUAGGAGUGAUUUAACUCUCCAUCCCCCAUCAUUAUCAGACUCCCUGACCAACCCUGCCCAAAACUAUUUGGCUCAAAUAGAAGCCCCUUCACACCAACCAGCUCCUCCCCAUCCUGACCACCCAGCCCCUCCACCUGCCAUUCUUGCCCCUCCCACCCUGGUUCCUCCUUCCAUUCAUGCCUCUUACCCUGCCUCCUCAGCCCCGGCCCCUCCCCCUGCUCUUCCCCCCACCCAUGCUCAUGCUCCAGCCCCACCCCCUGUUCCUGUCCCAGCCCCUCUCCCUGCCCUUCCCCCCACCCAUGCUCAUGCUCUAGCCCCACCCCCUGUUCCUGUCCCAGCCCUUCCCCCUGCUCUUCCCUCCACUCAUGCUCUAAUCUCCAACCCCCAUGCUCCAACAGCCAAUAAUCCUAACAUUGAAAAUGGAGCAAGUAGCCUAGAAACAGUAACACCAGAUAGUUUAGACAGAAGUUUAUUUCCAUUGAGGGAAGUACCCACCUUUAAUAAAGAAGGGAACUUGGUGCCUGUAAGACACUAUACACCUUUUAAACCUGAUGAUUUAGAAAAAUUCAAGCACAAUGUUC